UGCAAUCUCAUCUUCAGCCCAACGAAAAGCAAAAGGAUUUUCAGCCCAUAUCAUACUCACAAGCCCAUGAACAAAUUGAGAUUUCAGAAUUCAAGUUCUUAAUUCGGAUUUUUAAAAUAGUAGCUUUAAGGCAUUGAACUCUGCUUCUCGUGGAUCAUGGAACUGCAACACAUGAGAUCUCCGAACAAGUGCAAGUGAAGUAUUGUACAUCAUCCACCAAACUUUGAUAUUGUUGAAUCGGCCACUAUGGGACUGUUCUGGCGGCAACCUUUGACUUGGUGUUGAUUGGAGCAAGUCAAGAAUUGCUUUCUCUUUGUUGAAUCACUAUUCGAGAGCAGAUAAUAGAAGGAGAGGGGUGAAGAAAUUGAAGUCUACUAAUUUUGGUAAGACUACAAGGAAAAUGGUAUGUUCUAUAUAUUUGGUUUCAUUUAUUUAGAAACUAAUAAAACAUGGUCACCAUUGGCGACGACUUAGUUGAGCAA